rnacentral:rRNA from 1 species
GAUGAACGCUGGCGGCGUGCCUAAUACAUGCAAGUCGAGCGAACGGACGAGAAGCUUGCUUCUCUGAUGUUAGCGGCGGACGGGUGAGUAACACGUGGAUAACCUACCUAUAAGACUGGGAUAACUUCGGGAAACCGGAGCUAAUACCGGAUAAUAUUUUGAACCGCAUGGUUCAAAAGUGAAAGACGGUCUUGCUGUCACUUAUGGAUGGAUCCGCGCUGCAUUAGCUAGUUGGUAAGGUAACGGCUUACCAAGGCAACGAUGCAUAGCCGACCUGAGAGGGUGAUCGGCCACACUGGAACUGAGACACGGUCCAGACUCCUACGGGAGGCAGCAGUAGGGAAUCUUCCGCAAUGGGCGAAAGCCUGACGGAGCAACGCCGCGUGAGUGAUGAAGGUCUUCGGAUCGUAAAACUCUGUUAUUAGGGAAGAACAUAUGUGUAAGUAACUGUGCACAUCUUGACGGUACCUAAUCAGAGAGCCACGGCUAACUACGUG